rnacentral:tRNA from 1 species
ACUGAAUUGAAAGGCCUGCUUCCAGCUCUACAGUGGACCCACAGCGCAGGGGAGGGAGCACCAAGGACGGGGCGGGGGUGGGGGGUGGUCAGCCAAGCGCCUCCCAGGGCGCGGCGUGACGAGGCCCACAGGAUCGAAAGGGCACCAAGGGCUCUGUGGCGCCGAAACAGGCCGCGUACCGAGGGUCGCGGGGUCGCGCGGCUCCCGGAGCCCAGGGCGGGGGCGCUCCAAGGCUUCGGGCCGGAGCCCAGAGCGCCGCCCUCAGCUAAUCCGUCUCGUGGGCCCAGGACGGCGACAGGGAAGUGCCGCGUGGCGCUCCUCGGGCGAGGAAGCCGCCUCAACCCCGCCUCGCGCGCUGAGCCGCGCCUCCGACCCCGCGCGCUCCGGGGUGAGGGCGCCGCGCGGGGUGCGGGCCUGAGGGCCGGCUUCUCCCGCCUCAGGUUGUGCAGGUCUCAGGAAGCACGUCUGCCAGGGGGUCUCGACAGAAAGGCGCACCUCUUCUGUUUCACCGCAGAAACCUGCCUUCGGCGGCCAGGGAGCCACCUGCCCCCCGCCUUGCGUCCUCCCCACUCGGCCCGCGCCCCGCCGCGGGACCCGCUGACCGGAGCCGGACCGCGCGCGGGGCGAAGCCGGAAACGCCGGGAGCGUCUCCCCCACAAGCCUCAGCGCCGGCCUCGGGUAGAAGACGCAGCCAGCGUCGCCGAAAUAGCUCAGUUGGGAGAGCGUUAGACUGAAGAUCUAAAGGUCCCUGGUUCAAUCCCGGGUUUCGGCAGGACUUUUGCUGAGUGGAUCUGGAGUUCUUUCCUUUCCUUCGUGUCUUCCCAAAGGCAAGCCACCACACACGGUGAAGAUGCCAAGAGCUUAAGCCUUUAAAGAAACCUGGACCCGGUCACACAGUCACUCCACUUAAACACUGUUGGAUGUUGGGUCGCAGCAUGUGGCCUGACUCUCAUUUAUAAUGCGGUCCGCUCAGGUCUACAGGUGGAAGGUCUUGCGUUUGAUGCCAAAUAUAAUCACGUUGGGCUUGCAAGUUUUUCUUAUCGGAGACAGAGAUGAAGACAGUGUUCAAAAACGUUGGUCUCUACAGCAGGACUGGCAAAUCAGGGUCCCACCAGUGCGUUAGAAGAAUGGUCGGGCUGGUUCCUGGCUGGAGAGGUGAUUUAUAAGCACGUGUCACGACCUAAAAUGUUUCUUGCAACCUCAGUUUUCUCACCUCUCUUCUCAUAAACAGCGCGUGAACUGUUGUUGCUCAGAGCGAAUGUUUGCAAAUUUCCUGUCAGGAGCAUUACCAUCGUUACUCUAACGACAGGGAUGCAAAUGUCUUGGUUAUGUGUUUACUGAUGUUUUGAAUAUAAACUAAUAUUACAUACUAGUUGUAAGGUAAAAAUAUCCAAAGACCAAUAUCUAUCAUACAAAGGCUGUAAAAGACUGAGGUUGGGAGAGAAAGUUACCGGGCACUUUCCUCCCCUUUCACUUUCUGCAAAACCCACACCAGUCUGGCCUGCCUGCUGGGUUGUAAACUCCGGACUGAAUCAAGUGUGUUUUGCACAACGUCACCUCAGAGAGUGGUGUGGACACAUUCCAAUUUGUUUCAGGAGUUUAAAAUAACCGCCGCCCGAACAGGGACUUGAACCCUGGACCCUCAGAUUAAAAGUCUGAUGCUCUGCCGACUGAGCUAUCCGGGCUCUCAAAAGUACCUUAUCUCCUAGUCUAUCCACAGAAAAUAGACCACGCUGCCAUUCCUACUGGAUUAAAAUUCUGAGUCUUUUUGUUGAUUUAGUGAGUGGUGAAACUGCAAAAUCAGGUUGGAGCAGGCGCUUGGUGGAAGUCUUUUCUGAUCCCAUCACAGACAGACUAUGAAGAAAACAGUAAGUGCCUGCCAACCCCUGCUCUGACCAAAGGAGGAUGCUCUCACCCCUUGCAUCCUCAGGGGAACAUCUCAGGAGGAAUUCUGAUUUAGGACCCUGGGCGGGUCUCCUGGGGAUCUGGGGAUUUCUAAACCCAAUCUUGGUCUGUGAAGAGCCCCAGAGCAUCUUGUGGGUGGAACUUUAUGAAUAAUUGAUUAGGUUUCCUGUCUUUAUUCAUCAGAACCUAUCCAGGACCAAGACACGGUGGGCGUCCUCAGUGAGGCGGGAAGACACACGAAAUAGAUGUCAAGCGCUUGAGUGGUGGGAAGCCGGUCAACACCGGAAGUUAAGGGUCCUAACCAGUCUUCCAGCUGGUGAUGAUUCCCAGCUGAGCUGCCAGUGGUGACUGGGAGCCUGAAGGCUCAGGAGGAGAAUUCUGAGCAGAGGGAAGGGCAGAAGGGAAAAGACCUCCGCUAGUGAAUCUGAACAUUUUCCUUGGAGCUCUCAUUGAAAAGUUUCCACCAGGCUGAAUUUUAUAUUUUUAAGAAGUCCUAUUACCCUGGAGGCAACCCAUGUUGCCUACCAUUCUAUCAAACACUGAAUGUUGCAGCCAUCAAGCCAUGAGUCACUGCAGCUUCCCUGUUGGUGUACUCUAAGGGGAAUUCAGAAUGGAUAAAAAACAGGAUAUUGGCCCUAGAUAGUUAAGAUGCAUGUCAAAGGAAUAAUUUCAAUGAGCUGCGAUCCUUGCAUCAUCCCAUACUUAGAAAAGCACUAAAAUAAUUAACGUGAGACACAUGUUUUUCUAUGUUUAGCAGUAAUCUUUUGAUGUUCAAUUACGUUUUUUUUUCCCCUCCAGAAAAAAGUUCCUGUAUAUCUUGGGUCCUGCCUUACUUUCUUUAGAACAGUUCCUCAGAGCUACCUGAGAGUCUGCUUCACUGGCUAGUCUUCGGUAAGGCCCUUGAAUAAAACGUAACACCUAAGUUGUAGGUUGUGUGUGUGUGUGUUUCAAUUGUCAAUAGUAGCCCCCCCCCCCUUUUUUUCUUACUUCUGCUCCUUCAUUGCCAUGUUAUUCAUCGAGGCUUUGGAUAAGAUCCCUUGAAAGAGAAAGGAAGGGAAGGGAAUCCUAUGGGAGUAGAGCGUCAUAAGGGUUUUAGCUGUCCCUGGAAUUCAGACACUUCCUCUGUUGGGCAAGAAUAAUUGUAGUUCUUUUAUGGAGAAAUGCAUGGCGUAACUGAGCAGGAUCCUAGGGGGCCUUCCUUGGGCACACCCCUCCCUCCCUACUACAAGCUCUACCUGUCUCUUGUUUGUAGGAAAGGUUUCCUCUCCCAGGCCCUCAAAGGCUAGCUCUAGAGGUGAGGAUUGGAAACAUUCGAACAUGCAGUAACAAAAGCUAGCAGUUGGGCCAGGAGUUUUUAUUCAGUCACUAAGUCGUGUCCAGCUCUCUGCAGCCCCAUGGACUGCAGCACACCAGGCUUCCCUGUCCUUGACUAUCUUCCAGAGUUUGCUCAAAUUCACGCCCACUGAGUGGUGGUGCUAGAUGACCAUCUCAUCCUCUGCCGCCCCCUUCCUGGGCCAGGAGAACUGGUAACAGUGGAAACAGAGCAGCCACAGAAGGCACGGAGUCUUCAGUUCCUCCCUGAAGGACACAGAUAGAUCUGAUGCACAUUCCUGAGGUGGUCUGCAGAUGCUACAACCACCACCACCACCACUGCUGCGCAGUGAGCAGACUGUAGCCCUGACACAAAUGACUCCAUCUGGAGCAGUACCAAAUCUGUGGCUUGCAUACUUCCAGAAAUUCGCCCCAAGAAAGUGGAACCAAACUGACCCUGGAGUUGAAGAUUAACUGUGAUUAAAACAAGACGAGUCCAGCCAGACCACAGCGUUACUCACUUCAAGAUGACCGGCAGGGCUGGCUGUGCUGCUCUGCCCACAAGCCCCACCCCUUCACCCCGGACACUUCCUGGUUUUUCCCUGUGAAAUCUUUUUCUCUCCAACUGAAAGCUUGGAGACGGUUUGGGGGUACACCUGCCUUCUAUCUUCCUAGGUUGCUGGCCUCCUGAAUAAAGCUUCUUUCUUUUCCCACCAGUUCUUGUGUCUCUUGAACAUUGACUUUUGAGUGAGAGCAGCUGAACCUGAGUUCGUUUCCAGCCCUUCUGGUAACCUCAGGAACUAUGAACAAAGUUUAAAAAGUAAUCCAGUAUGGAAAGAUAUUCAAGUUACAUUGAACAAAAAUGACAGAGGUUGCCAAACAAUAUGUAUGAUAUAAUAUGUGUGCAAGAGUCAAAGGAUGUGCACAGGAAUAUACAUCCUUUCUGUAUAUACAUGUAUUAAACAUAGCUAGACAUGUAUUAAAUAUAUAUAUUUAUAUAUUUGUUUUGUGCAUAUACAUGAGAUGUUUAAGGAUAGAAAGCAUUCUAAUAAAAAUGACCACCUUUAGAGGAACAACGUUGAAGUGUGUGUUUCCUCUAAGUACAUCUGUAUAAUUGGGUAAAAAAAACAAGCGCAUAUUGUUUUAAAUAAUAAAUGAAGAAAAAAUGUAUCAGAUUAUUCUAUCCUUCAGAGAUCACAUAGGCAGUCCUUCAGAUCAAAGCGUCCCUGAUCCUGUGUUUUCUACAGAACCCAGCAGACAAAAGUGAAAAGCAAAUUUCCCUCCCAGUAGAAGCUGGAUCCAGAGAAGGCGAUGGCACCCCACUCCAGUACUCCAGACACGACGGAGUGACUUCACUUUCCCUUUUCACUUUCAUGCAUUGGAGAAGGAAAUGGCAACCCACUCCAGUGUUCUUGCCUGGAGAAUCCCAGGGAUGGGGGAGCCUGGUGGGCUGCCGUCUAUGGGGUUGCACAGAGUCGGACACGACUGAAGUGACUUAGCAGCAGCAGCAGGG